UAUCUAUCAUCCUGCAUAACGUUUCGUGAUGGAGCCAGUGGAGGUGUUGCCACUAUUUACCAUGUUGAGCCAAAUGGAUGGAAGAAAGUCAAGAAAUUGUCAUGUGAUGAUGUUGGAGAGCUUCAC